ensembl:lncRNA
CGAAGGUCUUACGGGUUUGGAAUGACAUGAGGGUGAGUAAUUAAUGACAGCAUGUUUUGGGUGAACGAACCCUUGAAGGAAGUUAACUGCAAAAACACUCCCUGAUUCUCUGUUUUUCUGGUUCCUUGGACCUUCCCAAGUUUAAUACUUUUACGUAAUAUUUACUAUUCAUAAAUACUAGAUAAAUAGCGGGUGAAACCUAGAUCACACCGUCCUUUUUGUUUUUGGGCAUUGGGGUUUCUCACCAGACUCGAUUCAGGUAAGAUUCACUCAUCCUUCUGCUGUUCUCCACACAAACUGUGAUCUCAUUUUCUUUUUAAUGGUCCAUUAUAGGUUCAUUUGUCCAGGUUAUCUUUUAUUUUUGUCUGCUGAUUAAGAGAUCUGUGAAAAUGGAACAAUUUGGACAGCGGUUAGUUGUACUGAGCUUGUGCUUGCUGGCUGCUGUGAUCAUCUCUGAACAAAGCGAGUAUUUAAUCACUGCUCUCAUUUACUUUUGUUAGCAAUUAACAGCAUUUUAUGCCAAUUCAAAAUUAUCUUUUGAAAACUGUCUUUUGCUCUCUGUGUCUGGCAGAACUUCAAAACGAUCUUAGUCGUGAUGAUGACAUUUGCUCCAUGUACAUGCAGGGCACAUCCAGACGUCUGAACAUGUCAGAGGCCUUUGACAUGAUCACACUGGAGUAUGGGUGGGAUACCCAGACUGGGAAUAUUGCACAGAUGACUGAAUUGUUUCAGCGCUCAGAUCGGAAUAAAGACGGAUAUUUGAAUCCUCGUGAGUGCAUCCUAUUCAUCGGACGUGUCUUCAGAAUCAUUUGAUGAAACAGGCACAUAUACAUUUUGAUGGGAAAGUGUAACCUUAGUAAACAAUCUAGAGGUUAAGAGGUCAUAACUGAAGUAUACGUGAAUGGAAAAUCUUUUCUCUCUCUUUCUCUACUAAAUAAACUAAAUAUGCAGCUUAACUGGUUUCA